CGCCAUUUCGAUUGUCAUACCAGUCCAUUGACAUUCUCCAAUAAUGACCUGAGGUGGAUUUUGGCGUGCUGCUCCACUCGAGAUGCUGGCCAUAAAGCAGCGCCAGUUCUGCUGCAGUAUACCUUACAGAAUGUAUGUGAAGGUAUCAAAACUAUUGACUGCAGGUUUGAGUCUACAUUUUGUAGAGAGCUCUGGCAGAGGAUACAGAACACAUCACUGAGUUCACUGACAACUCUUAAAGAAGACGAUGUGGAAACAUUUGUUGGAGCCUUAGAGAGUCACCUGGAAUACACCAUGCACAUUGUG
rnacentral:sRNA from 1 species